GUUGAACGCUGGCGGCAGGCCUAACACAUGCAAGUCGAACGAGUGGCGGACGGGUGAGUAAUGUCUGGGAAACUGCCUGAUGGAGGGGGAUAACUACUGGAAACGGUAGCUAAUACCGCAUACCAUCAGAUGUGCCCAGAUGGGAUUAGCUUGUUGGUGGGGUAACGGAUCACCCAGGCGACGAUCCCUAGCUGGGCGGAGAGGAUGACCAGCCACACUGGAAUGGAGACACGGCCCAGACUCCACCGGGAGGCAGCAGAGGGGAAUGUUGCACAAGUGGCGCAAGGCUGAUGUAGCCAUGCCGAGUAGAUGAAGAGGUCCUGGGGGUUGUAGAGGAAUUUCAGUGGGGUGGCGUUACCCGAUGAAGAAGCACCGGCUAACUCCGUGCCAGCAGCCGCGGUAAUUC
rnacentral:rRNA from 1 species